rnacentral:rRNA from 1 species
GAUCCUGGCUCAGGAUGAACGCUAGCUACAGGCUUAACACAUGCAAGUCGAGGGGCAGCAUGAACUUAGCUUGCUAAGGCUGAUGGCGACCGGCGCACGGGUGAGUAACACGUAUCCAACCUGCCGUCUACUCUUGGCCAGCCUUCUGAAAGGAAGAUUAAUCCAGGAUGGGAUCAUGAGUUCACAUGUCCGCAUGAUUAAAGGUAUUUUCCGGUAGACGAUUGGGA